GACAGAGGAUGCAAGCGUUAUCCGGAAUGAUUGGGCGUAAAGAGCGUGUAGGCGGCCAUACAGGUCCGUUGUGAAAACUGGAGGCUUAACCUCCAGACGUCGAUGGAAACCGUAUGGCUAGAGUCCGGAAGAGGAGAGUGGAAUUCCUGGUGUAGCGGUGAAAUGCGCAGAUAUCAGGAAGAACACCCGUGGCGAAGGCGGCUCUCUGGGACGGUACUGACGCUGAGACGCGAAAGCGUGGGGAGCGAACAGG
rnacentral:rRNA from 1 species